AUUGAACGCUGGCGGCAUGCUUUACACAUGCAAGUCGAACGGUAACAGGGUGCUUGCACCGCUGACGAGUGGCGAACGGGUGAGUAAUGCGUCGGAACGUGCCGAGUAGUGGGGGAUAACGCAGCGAAAGCUGUGCUAAUACCGCAUACGUACUGAGGUAGAAAGUGGGGGACCUUCGGGCCUCACGCUAUUCGAGCGGCCGACGUCUGAUUAGCUAGUAGGUGAGGUAAAGGCUCACCUAGGCGACGAUCAGUAGCGGGUCUGAGAGGAUGAUCCGCCACACUGGGACUGAGACACGGCCCAGACUCCUACGGGAGGCAGCAGUGGGGAAUUUUGGACAAUGGGCGAAAGCCUGAUCCAGCCAUGCCGCGUGUCUGAAGAGGGCCUUCGGGUUGUAAAGGACUUUUGUCAGGGAGGAAAUCCCUAGCGUUAAUACCGCUGGGGGAUGACAGUACCUGAAGAAUAAGCACCGGCUAACUACGUGCCAGCAGCCGCCGUAAUAC
rnacentral:rRNA from 1 species